UUCUGCUGCUUUGUAGGCGGGAAGUAAUUUGCUUCCUUUGUUGUUUUUGAUCCAUGUUUAUCAUCCUCUCCAAGCUGCAGUUAUUUAUCCAAACAGUGCAAGUAAGGAACUGGGAGAAGAGAGAUUAAAAUAAGAAGAAUGUUCCCGCCCUAAGAAUGUGCAGCUGAGCAGGCAUAUCUCACGAGAUGAGUGGCAGAGGCCUGGGAGGAGGCAUUAAUUAAAACUCGCGGCUGGGAUGGGGAAUUGAAAGUGCGUUUGUAAACGAUUAUGUUUUCUUUUCUUUUUUGAAAAAAUAAUUAUUAGUAGGCAAUGAGGCUGAAAGGACAAAUGAGACAUUUACUCACUUUUUUUUUUUUUUCUUUUGCGGUACGCGGGCCUCUCACCGUUGUGGCCUCUCCCGUUGCGGAGCACAGGCUCCGGACGCGCAGGCUCAGCGGCCAUGGCUCACGGGCCCAGCCGCUCCGCGGCAUGUAGGAUCUUCCCGGACCGGGGCACGAACCCGUGUCCCCUGCAUCGGCAGGCGGACUCCCAAUCACUGUGCUACCAGGGGAGCCCUCUAUCCAUUUCUGGAUUUCCAAUGUCUGACCCAUGAUUUCACAUUAACUGGUGACGGCUCUCAAUCAUUUGGCUGAUAAAGUAGAAGUUGAUCUGAACAAAGAGAUCUUCUGCUUAGAAGAAAGAAGAGAUCUGAGGAUACCCUGCAGCCUUAGCCUACGACUUAGACUUCCCAGGGAGGUAAUUCUCAGGCUUCUGCUCCUCUGCUCCCUGCACGACCAGACCAGGCGUGGCAGACGCGGUACCUCCCGCUGCACCCUCGAAGGCUCCAGGGAAUAACAACACAG